CCUACGGGGGGCUGCAGUGGGGAAUCUUCCGCAAUGGACGAAAGUCUGACGGAGCAACGCCGCGUGAGUGAAGAAGGUUUUCGGAUCGUAAAGCUCUUUCGUUAGGGACGAACGUGCUCUUUGUGAAUAAUGAGGAGUAAUGACGGUACCUAAAUAAGAAGCCACGGCUAACUACGUGCCAGCAGCCGCGGUAAUACGUAGGUGGCAAGCGUUGUCCGGAAUUAUUGGGCGUAAAGCGCGCGCAGGCGGGAUAUCAAGUCUGUCUUAAAAGUGCGAGGCUCAACCUCGUGAGGGGACAGAAACUGGUAUUCUUGAGUGUCGGAGAGGAAAGUGGAAUUCCAAGUGUAGCGGUGAAAUGCGUAGAGAUUUGGAAGAACACCAGUGGCGAAGGCGACUUUCUGGACGAUGUCUGACGCUGAGGCGCGAAAGCUAGGGGAGCGAACGGGCUUAGAUACCCGGGUAGUC
rnacentral:rRNA from 1 species